rnacentral:rRNA from 1 species
UAAGGGCGCACGGUGGAUGCCUUGGCACUAGAAGCCGAUGAAGGACGUUACUAACGACGAUAUGCUUUGGGGAGCUGUAAGUAAGCUUUGAUCCAGAGAUUUCCGAAUGGGGAAACCCAGCAUGAGUUAUGUCAUGUUAUCGAUAUGUGAAUACAUAGCAUAUCAGAAGGCACACCCGGAGAACUGAAACAUCUUAGUACCCGGAGGAAGAGAAAGAAAAUUCGAUUCCCUUAGUAGCGGCGAGCGAAACGGGAAGAGCCCAAACCAACAAGCUUGCUUGUUGGGGUUGUAGGACACUCUAUACGGAGUUACAAAGGACGACAUUAGACGAAUCAUCUGGAAAGAUGAAUCAAAGAAGGUAAUAAUCCUGUAGUCGAAAAUGUUGUCUCUCUUGAGUGGAUCCUGAGUACGACGGAGCACGUGAAAUUCCGUCGGAAUCUGGGAGGACCAUCUCCUAAGGCUAAAUACUCUCUAGUGACCGAUAGUGAACCAGUACCGUGAGGGAAAGGUGAAAAGCACCCCGGAAGGGGAGUGAAAUAGAACCUGAAACCGUGUGCUUACAAGUAGUCAGAGCCCGUUAAUGGGUGAUGGCGUGCCUUUUGUAGAAUGAACCGGCGAGUUACGAUUUGAUGCAAGGUUAAGCAGUAAAUGUGGAGCCGUAGCGAAAGCGAGUCUGAAUAGGGCGUUUAGUAUUUGGUCGUAGACCCGAAACCAGGUGAUCUACCCUUGGUCAGGUUGAAGUUCAGGUAACACUGAAUGGAGGACCGAACCGACUUACGUUGAAAAGUGAGCGGAUGAACUGAGGGUAGCGGAGAAAUUCCAAUCGAACCUGGAGAUAGCUGGUUCUCUCCGAAAUAGCUUUAGGGCUAGCCUCAAGUGAUGAUUAUUGGAGGUAGAGCACUGUUUGGACGAGGGGCCCCUCUCGGGUUACCGAAUUCAGACAAACUCCGAAUGCCAAUUAAUUUAACUUGGGAGUCAGAACAUGGGUGAUAAGGUCCGUGUUCGAAAGGGAAACAGCCCAGACCACCAGCUAAGGUCCCAAAAUAUAUGUUAAGUGGAAAAGGAUGUGGCGUUGCCCAGACAACUAGGAUGUUGGCUUAGAAGCAGCCAUCAUUUAAAGAGUGCGUAAUAGCUCACUAGUCGAGUGACACUGCGCCGAAAAUGUACCGGGGCUAAACAUAUUACCGAAGCUGUGGAUUGUCCUUUGGACAAUGGUAGGAGAGCGUUCUAAGGGCGUUGAAGCAUGAUCGUAAGGACAUGUGGAGCGCUUAGAAGUGAGAAUGCCGGUGUGAGUAGCGAAAGA